rnacentral:rRNA from 1 species
UGUGCCUUGAGGCGUGGCUUCCGGAGCUAACGCGUUAAGUCGACCGCCUGGGGAGUACGGCCGCAAGGUUAAAACUCAAAUGAAUUGACGGGGGCCCGCACAAGCGGUGGAGCAUGUGGUUUAAUUCGAUGCAACGCGAAGAACCUUACCUACUCUUGACAUCCAGAGAACUUAGCAGAGAUGCUUUGGUGCCUUCGGGAACUCUGAGACAGGUGCUGCAUGGCUGUCGUCAGCUCGUGUUGUGAAAUGUUGGGUUAAGUCCCGCAACGAGCGCAACCCUUAUCCUUUGUUGCCAGCGGUUAGGCCGGGAACUCAAAGGAGACUGCCAGUGAUAAACUGGAGGAAGGUGGGGAUGACGUCAAGUCAUCAUGGCCCUUACGAGUAGGGCUACACACGUGCUACAAUGGCGCAUACAAAGAGAAGCGACCUCGCGAGAGCAAGCGGACCUCAUAAAGUGCGUCGUAGUCCGGAUUGGAGUCUGCAACUCGACUCCAUGAAGUCGGAAUCGCUAGUAAUCGUAGAUCAGAAUGCUACGGUGAAUACGUUCCCGGGCCUUGUACUCCCCGCCCGUCAAAA